rnacentral:rRNA from 1 species
UGUGACCUCGGANNNNNNNNNNNNNNNNNNNNNNNNNAAGCAUAUCAAUAAGCGGAGGAAAAGAAACCAACAGGGAUUGCCCUAGUAACGGCGAGUGAAGCGGCAACAGCUCAAAUUUGAAAUCUGGCUCUCGGGCCCGAGUUGUAAUUUGUAGAGGAUACUUUUGAUGCGGUGCCUUCCGAGUUCCCUGGAACGGGACGCCAUAGAGGGUGAGAGCCCCGUCUGGUUGGAUGCCAAAUCUCUGUAAAGUUCCUUCGACGAGUCGAGUAGUUUGGGAAUGCUGCUCUAAAUGGGAGGUAUAUGUCUUCUAAAGCUAAAUACCGGCCAGAGACCGAUAGCGCACAAGUAGAGUGAUCGAAAGAUGAAAAGCACUUUGAAAAGAGAGUUAAAAAGUACGUGAAAUUGUUGAAAGGGAAGCGUUUAUGACCAGACUUGGGCUUGGUUAAUCAUCUGGGGUUCUCCCCAGUGCACUUUUCCAGUCCAGGCCAGCAUCAGUUUUCCCCGGGGGAUAAAGACUUCGGGAAUGUGGCUCUCUUCGGGGAGUGUUAUAGCCCGUUGUGUAAUACCCUGGGGGGGACUGAGGUUCGCGCAUCUGCAAGGAUGCUGGCGUAAUGGUCAUCAACGACCCGUCUUGAAACACGGACCAAGGAGUCGUCUUCGUAUGCGAGUGUUCGGGUGUCAAACCCCUACGCGUAAUGAAAGUGAACGCAGGUGAGAGCUUCGGCGCAUCAUCGACCGAUCCUGAUGUUCUCGGAUGGAUUUGAGUAAGAGCAUACGGGGCCGGACCCGAAAGAAGGUGAACUAUGCCUGUAUAGGGUGAAGCCAGAGGAAACUCUGGUGGAGGCUCGCAGCGGUUCUGACGUGCAAAUCGAUCGUCAAAUAUGGGCAUGGGGGCGAAAGACUAAUCGAA